CUUGGCCACCUGGGCACAUGCUGGCUUGUAUUCAGCUGCUGACCAGCAUCCCCAGGCCUCAGCCCCUUGAUCCAGCCUGUCCAGAUCCCUCUGCAGAGCCUUCCUACCUUCCAGCAGGUCAGCACUCCUGCCCAGCUCAGUGUCAGCUGCCAACUUAGUAAGGGUGCCCUUGAUCCCCUCAUGUGGAUCAUUGGUAAAGGUGCUGGAGAGGGCUGAUCCCAGUUCUGAGCCCUGGGGAGCACCCCUGGUGAUUGGCCACCCCUGGUGAUUGGCCACCAGCUGGAUGUAGCUCUGUUAGCUCUGUUUACCACCACUCUGGGCCCAGUUUUCUGCCCAGGGAACCCUGGUCAAGCCAUGAGCUGCCAGUUUGUCCAGGAGAAUGCUGGGGCAGAUGGUGUCAGGUCUCAGCCUUGCUAAGCUCUGGGUAAGCUACACCCAUGGCCUUUCCUUCAUCCCUCAAGUAAUUUUCUUUGCUGGGAAAUGAAGGUUGUGAGGUGUUUAUGGAACAUUUUUCAAUUUCAGGUAGCUUUGAAUUUAGAAUAUAUUUAUUAUUUCAUGUGAAACAAUUCAGCCACUGAGAAUAUUGCUGGAGUAAUUCAGGAAAAUAAGCUUUUAAAAAUAUGAAAAAUGUGCUAAAUUUUAAAAUUUACAUAAUAGAAGAAAAGCAGCUGAAGCAAUUUUUUUUCUGCUUAAUUCCUUGCAGGGAUGUCUAAAGAGUGAUUAAGCAUACCUGAUGGGAAGUCUAACACAGAUACCCUAGGAAAUUCUGGUGAUUAAAGAUCAUGGCAACCAUAGAGGAACUGGCCCAUCAAAUUUUUGAACAGCAGAUGGGAGAGGUUACACAUUCACAGGAAGGAGGUGCACAGACACUCAUGGAUGGGGCAGCACAGCGAAUACAGAUUGUCCCUGCAGAUUCGGGCCUCUCUUUAUCACAGCGUAUACAGAUUGUCACAGAUCAGCAGACGGGCCAGAAGAUUCAGAUUGUUACAUCACUUGAUCAGAGCUCAGCAGGCAAGCAGUUCAUCUUAACAAAUCAUGAUGGCUCUACCCCAAGCAAGGUGAUCCUUGCCAGACAAGAUUCCACUCCAGGAAAAGUUAUCCUAGCAACUCCAGAUGCUGCAGGUGUCAACCAACUGUUUUUUGCAUCCCCUGAUAUAUCUGCACAACACAUCCAGAUUUUAACGGACAACUCCCCCAAUGAACAGGGCCUAAAUAAAGUGUUUGAUCUGUGUGUUGUGUGUGGAGACAAAGCAUCAGGGCGUCAUUAUGGAGCAGUGACCUGUGAGGGAUGCAAAGGGUUCUUUAAAAGGAGCAUACGGAAGAAUUUGGUUUAUUCGUGCCGAGGAACGAAGGACUGCGUCAUUAACAAGCACCACCGGAAUCGCUGCCAGUACUGCAGGCUGCAGAGAUGCAUCGCCUUUGGCAUGAAACAGGAUUCUGUACAGUGUGAGAGGAAACCUAUUGAAGUGUCAAGAGAAAAAUCUUCCAACUGUGCAGCUUCUACAGAAAAGAUCUACAUUCGGAAAGAUCUCCGCAGUCCAUUAGCUGCAACCCCAACUUUUGUAACAGACAAUGAAACAGCAAGAUCAACGGGUUUGCUGGAAUCAGGAAUGUUUGUUAACAUUCAUCCUUCUGCAAUAAAAAGUGAACCUACUGUGCUGAUGACUCCAGAUAAGGUAGAAGCAUGUCAAGGAGAUUUAAGUACACUGGCAAAUGUAGUGACUUCAUUAGCAAAUCUCAGUAAAUGCAAAGACGUCUCACAAAGCAGUACAGAGCUAUCCAUGAUUGAAAAUUUGAGUAAUGGAGAUGCAUCAUUAUCUGAACUCAAGCAAGAAGAACAAGCUAGUAGUGAUGUUACAAGGGCAUUUGAUACUCUUGCAAAAGCAUUAAAUCCAGGAGAGAGUGCAGCAUGCCAGAACUCUGAAAGCAUUGACACCAGUGCACAGCUGCUUGGUGGAGAAACAAGCAUGAACAUCGUGGAAAUAGAGGGGCCACUACUCAGUGAUGCUCAUGUAGCAUUCAGGCUCACCAUGCCUUCUCCUAUGCCUGAUUAUCUUAAUGUUCACUAUAUUUGUGAGUCUGCCUCCAGGUUGCUUUUCUUGUCCAUGCACUGGGCACGUUCCAUUCCAUCUUUCCAAGCUUUGGGGCAGGAUAACAGCAUAUCAUUAGUAAAAGCCUGCUGGAAUGAACUUUUUACGCUUGGUCUGGCACAAUGCUCACAAGUUAUGAACGUGGCAACGAUCUUAGCUGCUUUUGUUAAUCACCUUCAAGGCAGUUUACAACAAGAUAAGCUGCCAACAGACAGAGGAAGACUAGUAAUGGAGCAUGUCUUCAAAUUGCAAGAGUUUUGUAACAGCAUGGUUAAACUGUGUCUGGAUGGGUAUGAAUAUGCAUAUUUGAAAGCAAUUGUUCUCUUCAGUCCUGAUCAUCCAGGUCUAGAAAAUGUGGUACAGAUUGAGAAAUUUCAAGAAAAAGCUUACAUGGAGUUCCAAGACUAUGUAACAAAGGCAUAUCCAGAUGAUACCUACAGGCUAUCUAGACUCCUUCUGCGAUUGCCUGCUCUCAGGCUGAUGAGUGCUGCCAUCACUGAAGAGCUGUUCUUCGCAGGACUGAUUGGCAAUGUUCAGAUUGACAGCAUCAUCCCAUACAUUCUGAGAAUGGAGACAGCAGACUACAACUCUCAGAUCAUAGGUCAUGGUGUGUAAAAGGAGCAGCCCAGGAUUCUGUACCAUGGCAAUCAUGGUGAUGUAAAUGCAUACCCUGUCUCCAAGAGAUGGUCAUAAGCCUUCCAGUGCACCUUUCCAAAGAAGGCUCAUAUUCCUCCUUUCCAGUACACUUGGGAAACGUGGUGGAGUGUAUUAGGAUAUAGGAUCUCUUCCUGUUCUUCAUCUGUCUUCAAGGACUUGUAAAUUAACUUGAUAUCUGAAGAAGGUCAAGAAUUGUCCAUCCUAUUUUUGUAGGUAGACGGACUUGGAAUAUUUGUUUAUGAAGUUCAGGCUUAUGAGGAAACUGAAGAACUUUGAUUGAACUAAGGCCUCCUUUAAUUAUUAAAUGGCCACUGGGAGCUCUCCUCGGAGCCUUCUCUAGGCUGAACAACCCUAACGCUGUCUGUCUUCAUGGGAGAGGGGCUUAAGCCCUCUGACCAUUUUUGUGGCCCUCUUCUGGAUGCACUGAAUUCUGUAGGGCCCUGUUCCCCAGUCAGUCUGCUAAUGAACUGCUCACUGUUCUGCUAGGAACUUCCCACAGCCUUUUGGCCUCCUCUGGGGCAUUUGACUUUUUCUGUCAACAAACAUCCCUAAUGCCCAGGCUGGCCUUACCUCCUAAUACCUCUGUCAGAUAAUUCCAAAGAACAUUUCUGUUGAAUCAUAGAAUCCAUCUAUGGUGUGCUGCUUUGUUUUUCUUCCCAUGUGUACCAAGUCUUGUGCUGAUACAUGCUGUGGAUAGCCUUACCCUUCCUCUGAUACACAAUGGCUAAGAGAAAGUACAAUUUUCUCUUGGGUGAAUCUUUAUGAGAAGAAGUCAGGCUUGUGCCUUUGGCUGGACUGUAAGAACCAGCUGUGCCCUCAGAGGCACUGUGUUGCAGGUGCAAGUCAUUUGGACUGCUGGAGCAUCACCAUCUUCAACUCUCAACAUCUGGGUGCUUAAGGUUCUUGUGGCUGUUGAUACUGGUUGAACAAAUGCAUUUCCUGAUUAUUUUUUCAAUAACUGGAUCUUGUAGUAAUGCUUGCCCAAAUAUAUUUUUAAAUUAACUCUGCUUGGAUUAAAGGGAGGUGGUGGGGUGAUAAUCAGGUGAUUCCUGAUAAGCAGACAGGAAUAUUUGUGUUCUGUGUGAAAUGAUAGGGGAAAAGGGAUAGCACAGAAAGGAUGUUCUAGGAAUGCUUUUGACUAAACUGUAGUGGAUUUGCCUGUGACAACAGAGAAAGCAGAUGGAACUGUGGGUUUUUCUGAGCUGACACAGGACAUUUCACUCAGCAGAACUGCCUGCUGACAUCCAGAGAACCAAAUGCCAUGCUCUGAACCUCCUGGUGAUACCAACUCCCCGGACAAGAGAGUUGGUGAGCAAGAGACAUGUGAGCAGCCAACCCUGUGGCUUUGGUCCUUAGCAGACCUGCAGUCCAGUCCCUCCCAAUGAGCUGUUCAUGAGGUGUCUGAGCUUGUUUAUGAUGAUUUCAGUUCUCCUGCAUCCUAGGGUUUUAUCAGGGAGCAAACUGAACAGCCACCUAGUUUGGCUAAUGAAGGCUCCCUGAGGAACAGCUCCAAAAGGAAUUUUUCUUUCACUCUGUAACCAGGAGAAUUUUGCCAUUGGAAAAACAAAGAUGAAGGUAGAGUUACUGCUGGAGAAAUAACCCAGACAUUUCCCACAAAAGGGUUGGUGUUUUCUAAAACUGCUGGUAAAUUUAUUAUUCCAGGGCUUUUGAGAGCUAAACUGUCCUCACAGCUGACAUACUGAAAUGUUUUUGUAAAUGAUGGAAGUGUGUACCUUUUUGGUAAUAUUUCAUCCUUCCAGGCUAUGAAGUUAUCUUCUAACAUUUUCAAUCAGUAGAACCCAAGUGACAAAAACUUAUUUCACUGUGUUUUUAGGAAAUAUAUAUGGAUGAUAAGCCUAAAAAAAUGUUUUAGUGAAAGCAUUAGAGAUUCCACUGUUUAGACUAAAGUGAGAGACACUAUGGUUAGAGACUGGAUUAGAUUAAUAUUGGACACUUAAAUGUGGAGGUUUGUGUUGUGGAUUGGACUGUGCUUCUGGAAUUUUGCAGUUUUAGAAGGAUGGGGCAGGAAUAAGAACAUAGUAUGCUCUUAUUUGUUAGUCUUAUGUUGGAUUUUUUUUCUUAAUUUAAUUAAGAAAAGGAUUUCCAUUUUUUGUUGUAAAUGGAUGUUCCACAGUUGCGAACCACUGCAGAAUAAAUUUACCUGACUUUCCAUACUAAGAGCAGAGAAAAUGGCAGUGGAAUACGCAAAUGUCAUAAAAGAAGUUCUUCUAAGGUAAAAUGUAAACACUAAAUUAUUCUGUAGAUCAGUUGACUUUUGCACUUUCUGAGAAUAUAUGAACUUCAGUUUUUCAAGAUCAAUUGUAGCACUGAAUAAAGCUCUUUAAAACUAAA